rnacentral:rRNA from 1 species
AGAGUUUGAUCCUGGCUCAGGACGAACGCUGGCGGCGUGCCUAAUACAUGCAAGUCGAACGAACGGAUAAAGAGCUUGCUCUUUUGAAGUUAGUGGCGGACGGGUGAGUAACACGUGGGUAACCUGCCUCACAGCUGGGGAUAACAUCGAGAAAUCGAUGCUAAUACCGAAUGUGCUGAACAUCAUAAGAUGUUCAAGUGAAAGACGGUUUCGGCUGUCACUGUGAGAUGGACCCGCGCUGGAUUAGCUAGUUGGUAAGGUAAUGGCUUACCAAGGCGACGAUCCAUAGCCGACCUGAGAGGGUGAUCGGCCACAUUGGGACUGAGACACGGCCCAAACUCCUACGGGAGGCAGCAGUAGGGAAUCUUCGGCAAUGGACGAAAGUCUGACCGAGCAACGCCGCGUGAGCGAAGAAGGCCUUCGGGUCGUAAAGCUCUGUUGUUAGAGAAGAACAUGGGUGAGAGUAACUGUUCACCCCUUGACGGUAUCUAACCAGAAAGCCACGGCUAACUACGUGCCAGCAGCCGCGGUAAU